AGAACGGAAGAGAACUUUUAUUGGCAGUGUUUCACUCGCGAUCGGUCCUGUCUCAGGAACGACCCAAACCCUGAGAAGGUGGAAGAUGAGCUCGUGGGAUAUUCAAAGACACUGAGAAAAA
rnacentral:lncRNA from 1 species